GAUGAACGCUAGCGGGAGGCUUAACACAUGCAAGUCGAGGGGCAGCAUAGGGUAGCAAUACUCUGAUGGCGACCGGCAAACGGGUGAGUAACGCGUAUGCAACCUACCCUGUACAGGGGGAUAACCCGGAGAAAUUCGGACUAAUAUCCCGUAAUAAUAUCCGGAGGCAUCUUUGGAUAUUUAAAGUUCCGACGGUACGGGAUGGGCAUGCGUAACAUUAGCUGGUUGGUAAGGUAACGGCUUACCAAGGCUAUGAUGUUUAGGGGUCCUGAGAGGGUGGUCCCCCACACUGGUACUGAGACACGGACCAGACUCCUACGGGAGGCAGCAGUGAGGAAUAUUGGUCAAUGGGCGCAAGCCUGAACCAGCCAUCCCGCGUGCAGGAAGACGGCCCUAUGGGUUGUAAACUGCUUUUCCAGGGAGAGAAACUUACGCACGUGUUGCGUGACUGACGGUACCCUGGGAAUAAGCAUCGGCUAACUCCGUGCCAACAGCCGCGGUAAACUGUAGUCGU
rnacentral:rRNA from 1 species